AUUGAACGCUGGCGGCAGGCCUAACACAUGCAAGUCGAACGGCAGCACGGGAGCAAUCCUGGUGGCGAGUGGCGAACGGGUGAGUAAUGCCUAGGAAUCUGCCUAGUGGUGGGGAUAACGUUCGGAAACGGACGCUAAUACCGCAUACGUCCUACGGGAGAAAGCGGGGGAUCUUCGGACCUCGCGCCAUUAGAUGAGCCUAGGUCGGAUUAGCUAGUUGGUGAGGUAAUGGCUCACCAAGGCGACGAUCCGUAACUGGUCUGAGAGGAUGAUCAGUCACACUGGAACUGAGACACGGUCCAGACUCCUACGGGAGGCAGCAGUGGGAAUAUUGGACAAUGGGCGAAAGCCUGAUCCAGCCAUGCCGCGUGUGUGAAGAAGGUCUUCGGGAUUGUAAAGCACUUUAAGUUGGGAGGAAGGGUAGUAACCUAAUACGUUGCUACUUGACGUUACCGACAGAAUAAGCACGGCUAACUUCGUAGCCAGCAGCCGCGGU
rnacentral:rRNA from 1 species